GAAGUCUUUCUCUCUGUGCGGCAAAAAAUAAGCUGAUGAUCACUCUCUCUACUCUUCAUAAUUUCUGAGUUAAGUUUCAUUGUCUUGAUUAAAUAUUAUAGUGAGAUUAUUGCGCAUGCAGUUGGUUGAUUCUCUUCGUGUGCAUUGCGUACAAAGGGGAUGAUUUUGGUUGAGGAACGUCUGUAAUCAUCUGAUCUUGUGUAGAUCGAGAGGUGUAAUGGUUUGAACUCUUGUAAACUAUGAUUCUUGAGAUCAUAGUGCAAAGGGAGCAUUAGUCAACCUGCGUAGAGAUUCAACAGAGAUACAGGUGGUGGUGGGCACACUACACCAAAAAUUGGCUUUUGCAACACUCAUAUAUGGCAACAUUCCAAUAAGUGAAUAUUGCGAUUGGUUAAAUUUAUUGGGUUUUAGCAAUGUUUUUCAAAUUAAUGUUGCUAUUGUCACUUUUUGCAAUGCUCGUUGUGAAAAGUUUUAUUUUUUGCAAUGUUCUUUGACCGUUGUUAAAAUAUAAUUCUAUAGCAACAUUUAGCGCCUGUUGUUGAAACUUAUUUUCGUAACGUUCAAUGAAUGUUGCCAAAAGUCAGUCAAAAAGCUUUUUGCAACGGGUGUUUGAAUGUUGCAAAAAGUGAAAUUCGCAACGUUCUUUUCAAAAAACGUUGUAACGUGUUGAACUUUUUUUAAAAUUGAUCCUAUGUGAACCAAAAGAAGAACUCCUCAGACAUUAGCCCUAAUUUUUCCUUCUUCUCUCAUGUCCGCCUCACUCUUCUCGUUACUUCCUCUCGCAAUACUUCCUUCCCUUUCCCAUAAUAGAGCCAAAAUAAUCCAAACCCUAAACCAAUUCAUUAACCUCACACCGCCGGAAUUUAUAGUUGUCGUCGGGAGUAGCCAGACUUGAGUCGCAGUGGACAACAAUGGUGGCUGCUGUAACUGCUUCUUAUUUUCUUCUCACUGUUGACUUUGGCACUGAACCAAAUGCUUUUGACCAAGUAAGUGCGUUCGUAUGAGCACGUGUUUUGAAUUAAUUUAAAUUUCUUGAUGGGUUUUCCUUUGUUUUUUUGUCUUCUUCAUACACAUCUGUUAGUUAACUUAAAUUCGUUAAUGUCCGGUUGUGCUUUAGUUUAUUGUGUUUCUCUUUACGGGCGCGCAGUUGGGCAAGCGCGUUUAAUCGGAUAUCGAGACUUAGGUUCCAUUUUCAUGGUUUGUUUUAAUUUUUAGGCGAAAGGAGAUUUUAUCCUUGAACUCCCAACUCGAACUUAUGAAUCGUCAGUGAUAUAGGGAAGAAAUUUGAGACCAAUUUCUCUCACGGUCUUCAUUAUGUUAAGUUAAUUGAAAACGGGGCAAUAGAGUUUUGUUAGAAGAAAAUUUCAGUUUGAUUUGUGUUCUUGUUAAUUAAAGCCAGUUAGAAGAAUCCUUAGGCCACAAAAUGGCAAUAGAAAAUUUUCUGAAUUUCUAGUGCACAAAUCAAAUUCAUAGGAUGGUAUGAUUUCUAAAGAUGAAAAGAGCAGAGGGUCAGUAGAGAUAGACAAGGAUGUGUGCUCAAGCUCCACUUUGACAAUUUUGAUCACGAAAUAUAACGAAAAUGUAGAUUCCCUAAUUUCUAGAUUGGUGCAAAAUGUAUUUGGGCAUAGUUAAGUACUAUUACGAGUAGCAUGGACUCUAAUAUUUUUUUUCCCCUUCUAAUGGCUAGCUUUUAAUAGAAGUUUUUCUUAUGGUUUUUUAUAUCCUCAUGUACUUGAUUAGCUUGCUUUGAAGUCCCAAAAUGAAGAGAGAACACUUGCAAGUUGCAAUGCCAGUUUUUCAACUGAUCCAGUAAUUAGCAUAUGCAAUUUGCUUAGUUGAUUGAAUGUACAAAUUGUUAAUCGAGUGGCCAUCCAUUGAUAUGAGUACUUCGUACCUGUAACUCUGGAUGCACAGGAAACACAAAUGUAGCUCUGACAUUUGAACUGCAAUGAUCAGCAUUUGAAUUUUUUAUUAUAUCCUAUUAACGUCCCUAAUCUAUGGUUACAUAAAUAAGCUUCUAAUGAUUGAGCUCAAAUUCCAGAUCCUUUUUUAUUGAUUGAACAUAGAAUUUUGUCCUAUAUUAAUGGAAAGAUAUCUAGCAGUCAAAUAAAUAAAACAAAAGAUAGUGAUAAAAUCAUUUUUAUGAGUUGGAGGUUUUAUAAUUUCUGAUCUUUACCAUUCCAUGCAACUGUGCAUUCUAAGUUAUAUGUUAGAUGAUGAUGAGGUAUUCAUGUGUUUUUGAAUGCUUUUUGGGAAAAUUUAAUCAAAUAGCAGGAUGAUAGAUGACUACUACACAUUGAGAAUGUUUGUAUUUACAUGUCCAUAGAGUGGCAGGUAGAGAAUUUUUGCAGCUUGCUUUUUGAAUGCUUUCUGCAACAUGAUGAAACAGAGUUUUUUUCCUAUGAAGUGUGACGGUAAGGUUAUCUUGUGAAAAUAUUGGAUGCUUUUAUAUCUGUAGGAUGUUUUGAAAGAUGCUUUUAUAUAUGUAAGAAGGUGUUUUCUAAAUCAUGCUUUUAUAGUACGAUGUGCAUAAUAUUUUUGUUAGCUUCAGUUUAAGGUGAUCUGAUGCAUAUGCUUUUUGUGUAAAAAUAUCUGAAUAUGAUGUGCACAAGACUAGAAAAUAUAAGCAUUCAUUUUCUCUUUCUACUUUAUCUAAUCUAGUUUUCCCAUUGCCUUGGUGCAGGGUAACCUUCAAAUCCUUGAAAGCUUCUUUGACCUGAAAAUGCCAUCAAUCAAGUUCCCGACUUAUCCCUAUAUCAGCAUUACUGUUAUCCAAAACUGAGAAGAACUGUCUCUAUUACAGUGCAUAAAAAGUAAAGGGUAGAUGAAGAAGUAUGAUGUCAAUUAUUUAUUUAACUCAUGGUGCAGGGUUUUUUUUUUUAUUCUGCAGCUCAUAAGUGUCAUUGAGUUUAUCACCUGGUGGAAUAACUAUUGGAUGCCUGAUGACAGAAAUAAAUCAAGGUACAAACAUUCCAUUUCUUAAAACUAUGUACUUUCAAGAUUUCAUUUUAGAAAAAGAUCCAGGAUAUCGGGCAAAUUUACCCCUUUUCUUUAAAUUUCUGUGGCAGCUGUUCCCUCGGAUUAUUCAUGGCGACACUAUUUUAUAUAGUCUCUGUAUGUGGCCUGGUGGUGAUGUAGACAUACACUUGCAAACUUUUUGUUUACAGUUACAUAAGGGGGAGGGGAGAAGGGUUGCAUUAGUGAUUCUGGUUAUAAAUUACGAUGUUAUGCCUCUAAAUGUUGUAGUGGUUUCUUAUCCCCACCACCUAAUUUUUAGAUUAAUGAAAUGAAUUUUUUACUUAUUGCUUCUUGAGUUCGUUCUAUCUUUAGGUAUAUAGGAACUACUCGAUUUCUUUCUGUCUAUCACCCUUGGUCUGUCUUUAUCAUGAUUCAGAAGAAAAUCAACUUGAUAUAUUCCUGGUUUGAAGAUUCGAAACUUGCUAUCAAAUUGCUUUGGCCAUAAAGACGGAGUGGAGGAUUUCAGAAGGCAGGCAUUACUGUUAUUUGAAACCUGUUACCAUUACUUUUUUUUUUUUUUUUUAAAUUAAGGAAAUCUAUUGGUUUUUAGGCGCUUUAAAAUUUUGGAUCUAAAUUUUGUAUGCAUAUUUUGUUACAUUUUGGAGUACAAUUAUUAUGAUUAUUGGAG
rnacentral:lncRNA from 1 species